CCUGAUUGUGAUGAAGGAUGGACAAAUACACGCAAGGGACCCGGAAGAGUGGGCUAGGAGAUACUUUACUGUUUUUGAAAGAGGAGGAGCCUGCAUCACAUAGAGCAGACCAGCAGAAAAUGAAUCAGACCCAGAUUUAAACCACUUGGAAUGCACUCAGGUGGGCAACAGCAUAGUAACUGUAAUGUAGGUAAAGUAGUAUCUAGUUCCUGGGGAGGAGGUCAAGAUGGCAGAGUAUAAGGAGGUGGAGCUCAUCUCCCCCCACAAACACAUCAAAAAUACAUCUACAUGUGGAACAAUUCUCACAGAAUACCAACUGAAAGCUGGCAGAAGAUCUCUUAUACAACCAAAGCUACAAGAAAGAUGCCCACAUAACUGGGUAGGACAAAAGGAAAAAGAAGAAAAAAAAGAUAUCAGGAUGGGACCUGUGCCCCUGGAGGGAGCUCCAAAAGAGGAAAGGUUCCAUCACCCUGGGACCCCCUUUGCUGGCUAGGAGGUCUGCUGGAACAGAUAGGGAAAUGGAGUGGCCUGGGCUUUGCUCGAGAGGAAUGUGCAGGUGCUAGCUUGCUGGCAGGUGGGAUAGAGAGGGAUCAGCACUGAUGGCUGCCACAUCGUUGUCACUCUUCCCAGGCCAAGACAUGAGCCUGCUGGUGCACACAGCAGCUGGGUGCUGAACCUCAGGCUUCAAAGGACAGAUCUGUGGAGAGGACUCGGUUUGGCUGCAUGGAGACAACCUGAACGGCCUAGUGUGUGGUCUGGGCCACCAUUGCUGGUGCACACCAGAUAGAGUGCGGGUCUGCCACAGAAGUGCCAUUCUCAGCAUGCUCCCAAUGAGGUGCAGCUGUGGCAGUGGUGGGCUUUGGGUGCCCAUAUACACUGGAAGUGGAACUGACAGCUAAGCCAAUUAUCAGGGCUCCCACAGUGUGGGCAGGUCCAGGGGCGGUGCCAGCAGCAGCAGACCUUGUGGACACACACACUGGGUGGUGGAUGAUAUCACAGAAUCACAUGUCCCCAGUGGACAGCUCCUGGGAAGGAAUACACAGUGGCUCCUUUCCCAACAGGAGCACUGUGGUCCUGCCUACCUCACACCACAGCUUAGAAGUAGAUCUGGGGGCUUCUACUUCAAAAACUGGGGAGCAGACCCUGCCCCCAAUAAGACUCUGACAGCCACAGACCAAAGAGGAUGCCCUGCCCAACAUCCAGUGCAGAUACCACAAAAGCCAAACACACCCCCUAUCAAGGGGACAAUGGCCAGCACACUCUGAGGAAAGACAUGGCAGGCAUCCAUACCAAAAACAACCCUCUCACCAAAAAUAUUGGACUCACACAGUCUACACAGGGAUGCUCCCACAUAAAAACAGCCCUUCAAGACCAUAGUAGGUAAUUGUUUCUCCUCAAUUCAUAGAGUCAGAGAAAGUUCAAUAAAAUGAAAAAGCAGAGGAACUACUCCCAAUUAAAAGAACAAGAGAAGUACCCUGAAAGAACAAACAAUGAAACAGACCUCUCCAGUAUACCAUACUCUGAGUUCAAAAAGGAGGUAAUAAAAAUGCUAAAGGGAUUAAGAAAAACUCUUGAUAGCAAUGCAGAUCAGGGAAUUCCCUGGCGGUCCAGUGGUUGGGACUUGUAUUCAGCGCUCUCACUGCCGGGGCCCAUGUUAAAUCCUUGGUCGGGGAACUAAGAUCCCACAAGCCAUGCAGCAUGGCAAAAAAAAAAAAAAAAAAAAAAGAAAGAAAAAUGCAGAUCACUGGAACAAGGAACUAGAAACCAUAAAGAGGAACCAAUCAAAAUUAGUCAAGUCAAUUGCAGAGAUUAAAAACCAAGCUAAAGGCAAUCAAUAGGAAAUUAAAUAAUGAAGAAGAAUGAAUAACUCGUCUGGAAGAUAGAAUAAUGGAAAUCACCCAAUCAGAACAGACAGAAAGACAGAUUUUUUAAAAAUGAAAGCAACAUAUGAGAUCUAUGGGAUAGUAUUAAGCGUGCCAACCUAUGCAUAAUAGGGAUCCCAGAAGAACAAAAAAGAGAAA